rnacentral:rRNA from 1 species
UGAAUUGACGGGGCCCGCACAAGCGAGGAACAUGUGGUUUAAUUCGAUGAUACGCGAGGAACCUUACCUGGGCUUAAAUGUAGAGUGCAUUUUUUAGAGAUAGAAAUUCCCUUCGGGGCUUUCUGCAAGGUGCUGCAUGGUUGUCGUCAGCUCGUGCCGUGAGGUGUCGGGUUAAGUCCCAUAACGAGCGCAACCCUUAUCGUUAGUUGCCAUCUGGUAAUGCAGGGGACUCUAGCGAAACUGCCACCGUAAGGUGAGAGGAAGGUGGGAUGACGUCAAAUCAGCACGGCCCUUAUGUCCAGGGCUACACACGUGUUACAAUGGUCGGUACAGAGGGCAGCUACCUGGUGACAGGAUGCUAAUCUCGAAAACCGGUCUCAGUUCGGAUCGAAGUCUGCAACUCGACUUCGUGAAGCUGGAUUCGCUAGUAAUCGCGCAUCAGCUAUGGCGCGGUGAAUACGUUCCCGGGCCUU